rnacentral:rRNA from 1 species
UCCCUUCUUCUUUUUUUUCCUUCCUCCCUUCCCCGGGUUCCUUCCCAGCUGGUGGGGAGGGGCUCUUAAUUAUUUUUUUUUUCAGGGGUUCCAAAAAAGGAGGAAUGGUAUUAAGUGGUUCCCUCCUAGGGGGAUACGGGAAGGGGUUUAACGUUAAAAUGAAACGGGUUUUUAUAAAGGUCUUGGGUUCGUGGGAAGACCGGGCUCUAAUGGUGGGGGUAAGCUUCCAUCCAUAGCGACCUGAGAGGCUGAUCGCCCAAUGGGAUGAACAGGCCCAUCCUAGGGGGCAGCGUAGGAUUUGGCCAGGAGAAGUUUACCGAAAAGCCGCUGAGGGAGAAGUUUUGGAUGGUAAACUUGUUUUAGGAAGAACAGGAUGAGGUAACGUUCAUCCCGGAGGGAUUUACCGAAAGCCAGGCUAUUAGGGCCGGCGGCGGGGUAAUAGUAGGGGCCAGGUUGUCGGAUUUUUGGGGUAAACGAGGCCGGGGGUUUUUAAGUUGAAGGAAAGCCCCGGCUCAACGGGGGGGUCAUGGAAACGGGAGACUGAGGCCGAAGAGGAGAGGGAAUUCCAGGGGAGGGGGAAAGGGUAAAAUAGGGGGAACACCAGGGGGAGGGGGCUCUCUGUUCGUAACGACGGGAGGCUGAAAGCUGGGGAGCAACCGGGUUAGAUACCCGGUGUCCAGCCGUAAAGGUGAGUGCUAAGGUGGAGGGUUUCCCCCUUCAGUGCUGCAGCUAACGCAUUAGCACUCGGCCUGGGAGUAGGACGCAAGGUGAAACUCAAGGGAAUGAUGGGGCCCGCACCAGCGUGGAGCAUGUGGUUUAAUUGGAAGCAACGCGAAGAACCUUACCAGGUCUAGACAUCCUUGGACCACUCUAGAGAUAGAGCUUCCCCUUCCGGGCAAAGCGACUGAUAUUGCAUGGUGGUCGUCAGCUAGAGUCAUGAGAUGUGGGAUUAAGUCCCGCAACGAGCCCAACCCUUAUUGUUAGUGGCCAUCAUUCACCAGGGCACUCUAGCAAAACCGCCGGGGACAAACCGGAGGAAGUUGGGGAUGAGCUCAAAUCAUCAAGCCCCUUAUGACCUGGGUUACACACCUGUUACAAGGGGAAGUACACCGAGUUGGUAAGUCGGGAGGAUAAGCUAAUCUCUUAAAGGUUCUCUCAGUUCGGAUUGCAGGCUGCAACUGGCCUGCAUGAAGCGGGAAUCGCUGGUAAUCGGGGAUCAGCACGCCGCGGGGAAUACGUUCCCGGGCCUGGUACACACCGCCCGUCACACCACGAAAGUUAGUAACAACCGAAGUCGGUGAGGUAACCUUUGGGAGCCAGCCGCCUAAGGUGGGAUAGAUAUUGGGGGAAGUCUAACAAGGGCCUACUC